AACGAACGCUGGCGGCAUGCCUAACACAUGCAAGUCGAACGAGACCUUCGGGUCUAGUGGCGCACGGGUGCGUAACGCGUGGGAACCUGCCCUUAGGUUCGGAAUAACUCCCCGAAAGGGGUGCUAAUACCGGAUAAUGUCUUCGGACCAAAGAUUUAUCGCCUUUGGAUGGGCCCGCGUUGGAUUAGCUAGUUGGUAGGGUAAAAGCCUACCAAGGCGACGAUCCAUAGCUGGUCUGAGAGGAUGAUCAGCCACACUGGGACUGAGACACGGCCCAGACUACUACGGGAGGCAGCAGUGGGGAAUAUUGGAAAAUGGGCGAAAGCCUGAUCCAGCAAUGCCGCGUGAGUGAUGAAGGCAUUAGGGUAGUAAAGCUCUUUUACACGGGAUGAUAAUGACAGUACCGGGAGAAUAAGCUCCGGCUAACUCCGUG
rnacentral:rRNA from 1 species